rnacentral:rRNA from 1 species
AUUGAACGCUGGCGGCAUGCCUAACACAUGCAAGUCGAGCGAGCGGCGGACGGGUGAGUAAUGUAUGGGGACUGCCCGAUAGAGGGGGAUAAAUCCUGGAAACGGUAGCUACUACCGCAUACUAUCGGAUAACCCAUAUGGGAUUAUCUAGUAGGUGAGGUAAUGGCUCACCUAGGCGACGAUCCCUAGCUGGUCGGAGAGGAUGAUCAGCCACACUGGGACUGAGACACGGCCCAGACGCCGACGGAGGCAGCAGUGGGGAAUAUUGCACAAGGGGCGCAAGCCUGAGACAGCCAUGCCGCGUGUAUGAAGAAGGCCCUAGGGUUGUAAAGUACUUUCAGUCGGGAGGCGUUACCGACAGAAGAAGCACCGGCUAACUCCGUGCCAGCCGCCGCGGUAAUUC